GGUAAUGUUUUGUUUGAUCUGAACACUAUUCAAAUAAAACGUUGGAAUGAGGAAAAUGAAGAG
rfam:Pteropus alecto contig46149, whole genome shotgun sequence.